AUUGGUCUUGAAUUGGACCAAUCCUGUGCUAGGGAGAGGCAACACCUACUUCCAGGCAUGGAAUUGGUCUAUAUAAGGACCAAUCUUGUGUCUAGGAAGGAAGUUUGAAUCUGAGAAGAUUCAGGGUUUAGCAGGGGUAGUUAAUUUCUGCCAACAGGAACUCUGGGUUUUUUUUUCUUUUAAUAAUGAUUUUGAAAGAUCAAAGGCAGAUAGUUUUCUUUCACCUCCUCAAGAUUGAAGCCUGAAUUCAGAUGUCAUACUUUAGAAAAGAGGAGAAUCGUUAUUGUAUAUAAACCAGGAAAAAUGGAUGAAAGUGAAAAAGUAGUAAAUUUAGAUUUGAUGUCAAGAGAAAAAUAUCCAAAACAUUCCAGCUAUUCAAAACGUGGAUUGGACUAUCUUGAGUGGAUGUGCCUUCACUGAUGGUCUUCAACAGUGACUGGAUGAACAUUUGGGAGGCAAAGUGUUGAUUGAACAUGACCUUGGAAUCAUCUGGGGCUGUGAAAAGUGGACUGCAUUCUAUUCUUACCAUGAGAUCAUUUAUUUCUUCUUCCUAUGGUUCUUACCCAUAUGCUUUCUACCACACAUUUCUCUUUACAUAUGACCCAUGAGGACAAAGUGCAAUCAGAAGUUCUGUUAAUGGAAAAUCCAAACAAGGUGAAAUUCCAGAAACUGAAAUCUUCUAAUACCUUUAGGGGAUAGGUGAAAGCACAACAGACCAAGAGAAACAGCCAAUCAUCUAAGAAUAGAGUUUGCAUCAAGGAAAGGAGACAUCAGAGCAAAGGUUUAUGAAUUCAGCAAUGCUUUGCUGGUUUUCUAGCAAUAAUCAAUGUUAAAUGACUGUAAUGGAAAAAUGGAGCAAGACAACUCUUUUCAAAAGUAAAUAAUGUGUCUGAAAGUUUUACAAUAAAUGACUUAGCAUGAUUUAUACUGCA
rnacentral:lncRNA from 1 species